rnacentral:lncRNA from 1 species
CGGCCUCGAUGACUCAUCCACGCGAAGCUCCGGAAUGAUCAGCUUCCCGAGGAGUGCUAGCUCGCAAGGAGGCAGAAGGUUGGCUGAAAGGGAGAAGGAAGAAGAUGGACCUUCACAGCUCAAGAACUCCUUCUUGGGCUUUCACCUUCAGAACUACUCUCUCCUCUCACUCUCUUUCUCUGGUGCUCUUCAUGUGUUAAGAAGAAGGAAGAGGGGUGGCCUAUUUAUAGGCCAAGAAGAAGGUGAGGUGUCCCUAUGAGGUGCCUGUGAGGUGUCCUGCCAGGACACAUGUCACACAUGCAAGGAAGAGAGAUGUCCUGCUCCGCCACGUGUCACGCAUGCAAAGGGAUGAGAUGGCCUGGAGGGUGAUGUCAUGGAUGACCUCAUGAGGCAGAUGAGGUCAUGGAUGACAUCAGGAGGAGUGUGAGGUGUCCAGGCCCGCCACAUGUCACACAUGCAAGCAAAAGA